UACGAAGGUGGCAAGCGUUACUCGGAAUUACUAGGCGUAAAGCGCAGGUAGGUGGUUGGAUAAGUCCGUAAUGAAAUCUCCCGGCUUAACUGGGAGGGGUUUAGGGAUACUGUCCGGCUUGAGUGUGGGAGAGGUAACUGGAAUUCCUGGUGUAGCGGUGAAAUGCGUAGAUAUCAGGAGGAACACCAACGGCGAAAGCAGGUUACUGGCCCAAUACUGACAUUGAGCUGCGAAAGCUAGGGGAGCAAACAGG
rnacentral:rRNA from 1 species